rnacentral:rRNA from 1 species
AGUGGCGGACGGGUGAGUAACGCGUGGGUAAUCUGCCUUUUAGUGGGGAAUAACAGUUGGAAACGACUGCUAAUACCGCAUACGCUGCGCAAGCAGGAAAGAUGGCCUCUGAAUAUGCUGUCGCUAAAAGAUGAGCCCGCGUCUGAUUAGCUAGUUGGUGGGGUAAAGGCCUACCAAGGCGACGAUCAGUAGCCGGCCUGAGAGGGUGAACGGCCACACUGGGACUGAGACACGGCCCAGACUCCUACGGGAGGCAGCAGUGGGGAAUAUUGCGCAAUGGGGGAAACCCUGACGCAGCGACGCCGCGUGAGCGAUGAAGGCCUUAGGGUUGUAAAGCUCUGUUUUAGGGGACGAAUGUCUAGAUCAGUAAUAUGGGUUUAGAAUGACGGUACCCUAAGAGGAAGCCCCGGCUAACUACGUGCCAGCAGCCGCGGUAAGACGUAGGGGGCGAGCGUUGUCCGGAAUUACUGGGCGUAAAGAGCACGUAGGCGGGACUUUAAGUCAGGUGUGAAAGACCGGGGCUCAACUCCGGGAUUGCACUUGAAACUGGAGUUCUUGAGGGCAGGAGAGGAAAGCAGAAUUCCUGGUGUAGCGGUGAAAUGCGUAGAAAUCAGGAGGAAUACCAGUGGCGAAGGCGGCUUUCUGGACUGACCCUGACGCUGAGGUGCGAAAGCGUGGGUAGCAAACAGGAUUAGAUACCCUGGUAGUCCACGCCGUAAACGAUGGAUACUAGGUGU